UACGUAGGGUGCGAGCGUUGUCCGGAAUUACUGGGCGUAAAGAGCUCGUAGGUGGUUUGUCGCGUUGUUCGUGAAAACUCACAACUCAAUUGUGGGCGUGCGGGCGAUACGGGCAGACUAGAGUACUGCAGGGGGAGACUGGAAUUCCUGGUGUAGCGGUGGAAUGCGCAGAUAUCAGGAGGAACACCGGUGGCGAAGGCGGGUCUCUGGGCAGUGAACUGACGCUGGAGGAGCGAAAAGCGUGGGGAGCGAACAGG
rnacentral:rRNA from 1 species